CCUACGGGAGGCAGCAGUGGGGGAUAUUGCACAAUGGGGGAAACCCUGAUGCAGCGACGCCGCGUGGGUGAAGAAGCGCCUCGGCGCGUAAAGCCCUGUCAGCAGGGAAGAAAAUGACGGUACCUGAAGAAGAAGCACCGGCUAACUACGUGCAAGCAGCCGCGGGAAUACGUAGGGGGCAAGCGUUACCCGGAUUUACGGGGUGUAAAGGGGGCGCAGACGGCGAUGCAAGCCAGGAGUGAAAGCCCGGGGCCCAACCCCGGGACUGCUGUUGGAACUGCGUGGCUAGAGUGCAGGAGGGGCAGGCGGAAUUCCUGGUGGAGCGGUGAAAUGCGUAGAUAUCAGGAGGAACACCGGUGGCGAAGGCGGCCUGCUGGACUGCAACUGACGUUGAGGCCCGAAAGCGUGGGGAGCAAACAGGAUUAGAUACCCGAGUAGUC
rnacentral:rRNA from 1 species